rnacentral:rRNA from 1 species
UACGUAGGGUGCGAGCGUUGUCCGGAAUUACUGGGCGUAAAGAGCUCGUAGGUGGUUUGUCGCGUUGUUCGUGAAAUCUCACGGCUUAACUGUGAGCGUGCGGGCGAUACGGGCAGACUGGAGUACUGCAGGGGAGACUGGAAUUCCUGGUGUAGCGGUGGAAUGCGCAGAUAUCAGGAGGAACACCGGUGGCGAAGGCGGGUCUCUGGGCAGUAACUGACGCUGAGGUGCGAAAGCGUGGGGAGCAAACAGG